AUUGAACGCUGGCGGCAGGCCUAACACAUGCAAGUCGAACGAGUGGCGGACGGGUGAGUAAUGUCUGGGAAACUGCCCGAUGGAGGGGGAUAACUACUGGAAACGGUAGCUAAUACCGCAUACCAUCAGAUGUGCCCAGAUGGGCUUAGCUAGUUGGUGGGGUAACGGCUCACCAAGGCUACGCUCCCUAGCUGGUCUGAGAGGGUGACCAGCCACACCAGAACUGAGACACGGUCCAGAGUCCUACGGGAGGCAGCAGUGGGGAAGAGUGCACAAUGGGCGCAAGCCUGAUGCAGCCAUGCCGCGUGUAUGAAGAAGGCCUUCGGGUUGUAAAGUCCUUUCAGCGGGGAGGCGUUACCCGCAGAAGAAGGACCGGCUAACUCCGUGCCAGCAGCCGCGGUAAUUC
rnacentral:rRNA from 1 species